rnacentral:rRNA from 1 species
GUGAACGCUGGCGGUAGGCCUAACACAUGCAAGUCGAACGGCAGCACAGUAAGCGCUUGCUCUUACGGGUGGCGAGUGGCGGACGGGUGAGGAAUACAUCGGAAUCUACUUUUUCGUGGGGGAUAACGUAGGGAAACUUACGCUAAUACCGCAUACGACCUACGGGUGAAAGCAGGGGAUCUUCGGACCUUGCGCGAUUGAAUGAGCCGAUGUCGGAUUAGCUAGUUGGCGGGGUAAAGGCCCACCAAGGCGACGAUCCGUAGCUGGCCUGAGAGGAUGAUCAGCCACACUGGAACUGAGACACGGUCCAGACUCCUACGGGAGGCAGCAGUGGGGAAUAUUGGACAAUGGGCGCAAGCCUGAUCCAGCCAUACCGCGUGGGUGAAGAAGGCCUGCGGGUUGUAAAGCCCUUUUGUUGGGAAAGAAAAGCAGCAGGUUAAUACCCCGCUGUUCUGACGGUACCCAAAGAAUAAGCACCGGCUAACUUCGU